AUUGAACGCUGGCGGCAGGCCUAACACAUGCAAGUCGAGCGGGUGAAGGGAGCUUGCUCCUGGAUUCAGCGGCGGACGGGUGAGUAAUGCCUAGGAAUCUGCCUGGUAGUGGGGGAUAACGUCCGGAAACGGGCGCUAAUACCGCAUACGUCCUGAGGUAGAAAGUGGGGGGUCUUCGGACCUCACGCUAUCAGAUGAGCCUAGGUCGGAUUAGCUAGUUGGUGGGGUAAAGGCCUACCAAGGCGACGAUCCGUAACUGGUCUGAGAGGAUGAUCAGUCACACUGGAACUGAGACACGGUCCAGACUCCUACGGGAGGCAGCAGUGGGGAAUAUUGGACGAUGGGCGAAAGCCUGAUCCAGCCAUGCCGCGUGUGUGAAGAAGGUCUUCGGAUUGUAAAGCACUUUAAGUUGGGAGGAAGGGCAGUAAGUUAAUACCUUGCUGUUUUGACGUUACCAACAGAAUAAGCACCGGCUAACUUCGUG
rnacentral:rRNA from 1 species